AGAAUGAGAUUUGAGCACACAAAAGACUAUAACUUUACCACUUUUUCAACCAAAUCUAUUCGGUCCAUGAUUUGGACAUUGUAAAUUUCUAAAACUUGUUGAAAUGGUGAAGAUUAGGGUCGUUUUUUAUGUUAGAUGAUUUCCUCCAACUCAUAUCGAAGAGAAAAACUAGUUGAGUAUCGUACUGGUAGGUAUCUUAUCAAUAACAAUAUGUAUCAGCCGAUAUGAUACUAUACUUGCCGAUGCCUUAACACUCUAAUCAAUUUAGCUGACCAUACUAGACAUAUUGAAGUGGACUGCGACUUUAUCAAGGAAUAACUUCAUUCUGGAUGUCUACGCACAUCUUUUGUGAGACUAAGAGAACAAAUGGAAGAUAUCUUGACCAAAGGAAUUGUCUCCUUACGCUUUUAUGAUUUGUUAGAUAACCUGGGCAUGUGUGAUAUCUUUUCUUCAGUCCAGACUGGGUAAUAAACCUUCAUGGGGAUGGAGAAGUUGAUUAGAGGGAAGGAGGGUUCUUGAAGCUGGUUUAAUUUGGCACAUAGGAAAUGGGGAGAAGGUGCAUAUUUGGCUUGAUGAUUGAUUGCCAUCUCUUCCUCACUCUAAGAUUCAGCAUCCAAAGCCUGUGGAUUGCCAGUUAGAGUGUUUCUGAACUCAUUGAUCGGAGUAUAAUUCUGAACUGCAGCAUGAUUUAUUACAACAGUAUUUUCAACCACAAAUGAGAGAGAAAAUUCUGAAAAUCGCUCUUAGUCUUUACCCAAGGGAAGAUAAGCAAGUCUGGGGAGUGGGGACCAUCUAAAAAUGGUAUGUUCACAGUUAAAUCAGCAUACGUUUUUCUGUAUGAUGCUCAUUAUGAUGAACUUGCAUCUGGUCCUCUUCAUUGCAUGUUCUUCAAUGGGAUCACCCAGUUUCAGAGUGGAAAAGGAUUUGGUCAGUCUGUACUCUUCCUAAGAUCAAGUCGUUUAUGUGGAGGCGAAGGUUUGAAAUCUAGGCAGAUUGGCUGCAUAGUUGGGAUGCUCUUUUCAGAAUGGACAAGAAGCUAGCUCACGAUUCUAUCUCUAGAGCUUCAUCUGUAUGCUGGUACUUAUGGUGUGAGAGGAACGAUCAAGUCUUCAAUGUUAAAUCCUGGACUCCACAAGAGUAGAUGCAGUGCAAGCUCAGCGGAAGGCUCCUCCUCAUGAUACAUUAAAGCAAACUGUGACAUGGCACUUCCACAAGGUUCAGCAAAAGGAGGUUUGGGUUUGAUCUUUCGUCAUCAUUGGGGGCUGCCAACUUAAAGCUUUAUCCAUUCCACAAUAUUUUGCUACUGUUGUUCGUGGAGAAGCUCUUGCAAUCCGGAGUUCUCUUUCUUAUGCUUUAGCAUCAGGCUAUUUCCAUUUGCAGAUCGAGUCUGAUAGCAAGGAGUCUUUAAGCUGCAUUAUUGAUCCAUACCGGGGACCACCAUUGGAGAUUGCAACUGUGAUUGGUGAUAUUAAGCAUCUUGGUGCUUCUUUUGUUUCUUGAUCCUUUUCAUAUAUUCCACGGGCUCUGAGCUCUAUAGUAGACGUCCUGGCUAGGAAGGGUCAUGUCUAUCAUGUGUCCGACGGAUCGGCCACAUUCCAUUCGUUGUCUGGACGGACUUUGUGCGUCUGAUGCCUUAGGCUGUACACAUGUUUUGAAUCAGUAAAUUAUCUCUUCAGCAAAAAAGAUAUCCAUGCUCCAGCUUGAGGUGGAGUGUUGGAAUAUGUAGUGAGGUUAUUUUGGUC